UGGCCUUGAACUCAGAAAUCCACCUGCCUCUGCCUCCCAAGUGCUGAGAUUAAAGGCGUGAGCCACCACUGUACAGCAUAUAUCAGAUGUUUUUAAUUACCAAUCAUAACAGUUAUGAAAUAGGAACUAAGUAAUUUUAUGGUUGGGUGUGUCACGAGAAUGUGUGGAACUGAAUUAAAGUGUCACAGCAUGAGGAAAGUUGAAGACCACUGCUCUAAGCUAAAGACAAAGUUAAAGUCCAAUGUUUUCUCUGAACACUUUUUAAAAUCAUAUGUUCUUUCUCCUAUUGUCCCCCAUGGUCCUGUGCGAGCGAGCUGAUGGAAUUCUUAAUGGCAGAUUUCCCUCUGGUCUGUCUCUGUCGGGAUCCCGGAGGAUGAUCUGGGGCUGGAUUCUCCAUGGUCGGGGCUCCGUGGUGCUUCUCUCACAGGAACCUGGACCCAAGUGAUCUCAAAGGUUUGCAGUGUGGACAGAUCCUGGGAUGCCAUAGCAACAAUUCAGAGCUCAUGGUGACUUGAUAUCUUCGGCUUUGAUCCUUCAGUGGGAACCUGAUGAUAGAAAAGCUGACUUAACUGAUGGCACAAGUAUACUCUGAACCAGGACCCACUUCAAUCUCCACUGUGACAGCUUGAGUCCUGCUGACUGAGAGGCGGCAUUUUGAUCUUCCUCGCUUACCACUUGUAGAGAGCUGACCUAAGUGAUGUGAGAAGUUUGCUGUGAUGGACAGUUUCUGGGUGCCUUGCCAACAAUCCAGAGUACAUGGUGACAUGUCAACUCCAGCUGUGAUCCUCCUGGGUGGCACUGACUUAUAGAAAUGGCGACCCAACAGAUGGUACCAGCACACUGAGAUAUCGAACCACACCACUGUGACAUCUCAGAGCUUUGCUGACCAAGAGGCAACAUCUUGAUCUUCCUUGCCCACCAGCCUGUAGGAACGUGACUCUAGUGAUGGUAGAGGUAUGGGGUGAUGGACAAUUCCCAGGAUGCCAUGGCAGCAGUCCAGAGCCCUUGGUGACUUGUCAACUCCAGCUCUGUUCCUCCUGUGGGCACCUGCUUAUAGAAAGGCUGACCUGGUGAUGGUGAAGCACCACCCCAACUCUGCAUGUCACAAGUCAACUUCUCUGUCCCUGUGGAGUCUGGUUCAAGGUCUUGACAGUGGCUGAUUGACUGACGUCAUCGCCAAAGUUUCCUGUUAUAGAGAGUUCCUCUGAUGUCACUUCAACACCACUACAACUGCGCCUCUGAGAGCUGAUUGCAGAAUUUCCUAUGUUUAAUGACUGCAUCAAGAAUGUGCACUCCUAGGUUGAUGUCUGCAUUUUCUAUGAUCAGCAGUGGAACAUUUGCAUCUCUGCAUUGGACUUGGGGCAGUGUGGACCAUGUGAGUAGAGAACCCUCCAAUGGUCAAGCUCUCUAUUUGCACCAGCUUGAGGAGACGAACAAGACCAGUAAUGGACUUUCCCAAGGUAUCUAUUCACCUCCAAUGGCUUCCAGUCCAUCAGUUGCUCAUGAUGAUGUGAGAUCUGCCCAAACUUCUCCUCAUAGUUUUGAUGGUUUGAGGAAGGUGUUUGCUGACUGGAGGAGGUCUCCAUGUCUAGGAUCUCCGCUGAUGUCAUGGGUGGUGCUGGGAUGACCGCUGUGAGUAAUCCCUUGGACUCUUUCUUCCCGUUUGGUGGUAUGCUUAGCAGAACUCAGUGUGUCACUGAAAACUGUGCUGUGGCAUUAAGAAUGAGUGUUUCAUACCAGGGAGUGCCACAGACAUGAAUGGAAGUUGUCAAAUUAUUAAUAAAACAUUGAGGAUGGUUAAUGAAGGCUAGAACACUUCCACACUGAUUAGGAAUAAGAUUUUUAGGGUUGUUGGAAUAAUAGGUGCUCAAAUUAUUAUUAGCUGAUCGUUGAACUAAUUAUCAGACAAUAGGAAAGGACUGCUUGGAAGAAGAAAGGAGCAGCCAUGAUUGAUACUGUGCUCUGUUGACAUAUGAGUCACAUGGAUGACUACAUGUCUGGAACUUUGAGAUCUACUAAAGAAGUAGUAUAAUCCUUUGUCUUCCUUUCCAGUGUUCCCGUAGAAAGACUACAGGCCUGGAUAAUUUCUUCAUUCCCCGCACCCUCCCUUGUUAUAAAUUCUAUUUUGUCUUUAUAAUUAUAUCAAUGUGAGAAUCAAGCAAUCAGUCUCAAAAAUAAGUGAAAAUGAAAUGGGUAAAUCAUUGCCGGAGCCAAGAAAUAGAUUAGUAUGUACAGAAUAUUUUUUUUUGCCACUGAUGACAUGGAACAUGUAAAUUACAAAGUCUGCAUUCUGAGACAGUUUGAAAAUUCCUUGUGUUUAAGCCACAAGAACAUUAAAUAUGCUCCAAAAAUGGUGGCCCUAGUGGCCAGUGGUAGGUGAGAAGUGAAGGCUAUUAAAGGGAAAGACUUGAUUCUGUUAUCUUCUCUGCUCAGUUGUCCCUAGGAUGGACGCACUGUAUGACAAGGGCAUCCUCCAUGAUUGGGGUCUCCUGUUUCUGCUGCACUGAUUCUGAAUAGUUUUGCUUAAGUUCAAAAAAAAAAGAUUCAAAAUUCUGUUUUGAAUGAUUUGCUUAAGAUUACUCAGUGCCUUAUGCAGCUAGGAGGCUUCCAUCUUUAGUCUCGCCCUUUAUAGACAGAGGCCUCUAGAAGUAGAUCUCUGAGUUUAAGGACAGUCUGAGCUACAAACCAAAUUCCAGAACAGCCAGAGCUCCACACAGACACAGACAAAAAGAAUAUUCACAUGAUUAGUGAAGACCACCUGUAUCCCAGUGAUUGAUCACUAAUGGAUAUUGAGUCUUCUAUUGAUUGUACUUUUAUGAAAACUUGAAUUAAUUACUAGCUAGUCUGAAGUUAUUCAUCUUCUUAUAAAAUAAAAGACUCCAACUGAGUCAAAAAGAUGCAAAACUAGAAUGGAGAGUGAGCAGGUCUUACAUCUCUCAUAUUCUGUCUGAUGUUUGUCCUCGAGUGAAGGAACGAUGUGACUGAAGAGUCUGCCAUGGUGAAGGGCUCUGUGCUUUCCCAAGAAGAAGUUCAUGUUGAAUGUAAGUUGAAGCCACCAUUCUUAUCUUAACAUAGUCACUGUACUAUUACACAAAAUGUGCACUAUACCUCACAAAUAGCCAGCCUUAUGCCAGUGACUGUUAAGGUGCUCUAUUAAUCAGACAUGCAUGAGCAGUAAAAGAUAAUUGAUAAAAGGAUAAGCCAAUGCUGUACUAGCCCUGUAUGCAAGUUAAGAGUAUGCAUAAGGUCUCUUCCUCCUAUGCUCUUCGUUGAGCUGGCAUUCAAUGGGAGAUGAUAACUUACUCAACAGACAGAUAAAUAAAGAAAUAAAGUCUUUGAUCAGUGAUGACUCUGUUGGUUUGGGGGUCAUGAAGGAGUGCAUAUGUGGAUUUCUCAGGUCCAACCUCAAAGAUGUAGUACAGUCACAUGAUCUGCUUGCUAAGAGUCAGUGACUGGAACAAAUUACAGUUUAGAGUUUGUUUUUAUGUAGUUUAUUGUACUUUUAUAAUGGGACCAUUGUGCGAAGUAGUUAACAAAUAAACAAAAAAAUAUAAACUAGGCAAUGUCAAAAUAAAAUACCUCAGUGGAUAUGAAAAUGAGUACAUGCUUUUACUUCUGUGGCUGUAAAUUUUUACUGUAUAAAUUAUUCAACUUUCUACUCCUGUGCAAAAAGGGAGUUCAAAUUUUUUUCAUUUUUCUUUUAGUAAAAAUAAAGUAAUUACUCUUUCAAUUAAUGAUUGUUAAGAAAAGGUGAAUGCAAUACUCAAUAGACAAGAAAAAUAGCAGUUUCAUUGUCAUGCAUUCUGUUUUUUUGCCCCUUAGAGUAGACUAAUGGGAAGAGAGUUCCUUAUUCACACCUGGAGUUUAAGGUAAGUAUUAGACAGCAUGCUUGUCUUUGUAGUUUUUUUAAAGUUGUAUUCAUAUAUGAUAACUACAUCACUAUUUAAAGGCAGAAGACCAUGUGUAGGCCAGUUUCUAAUGUGUGAUGGACAUGAAGCAUUCAUAUUCAUAUAAGUACAGUCACUUACAUGGAAAGAUGUGCCAUAUGAUGGUCAGACAGAAUUUGAGAAUAAUCUUAUAGCUGAUUAUAGCAAGAACAAAUCCAAUGACAGACCUCUUGGGUUUCUAUAAGCCAUACUACUCAAAAGAUGUCAAUGGUGAAUUAAUGAGUUAAUAACUACACAGGGGUAGUAGUGUAAAGAGCCCAGUUGUCAUCCUGGUUCAUCAAGACUCCCUGUGUCACCUGAAAGAUGAAUUUCUAUACAUACAUCUGGAGCUUAGGCCCACCACAGAGGAAUGUACCACCACCACCUCUAAAGUUAUAUUUUAGGCAGGGAUUUGGAAGAUAUAUGGGUUUUAUUUUUGAUUUUGUUAAAAUGUUUUUGAAACUAACACUAAAAGCAGUUCAAGGAAAGAAUCAGUUCAAUGAAAGAAUCAGAAAAAAUAUAGUUAUUAAUGUAUAGGGAUAAACCAUAUUCAACUAUAGCAAUAUUUUGCAUGGCAACUAGACAUUUCUACACACUAAUACCACUGCUGUGCACAAGGUAGAAGAUGAAUGACAGAAUCUAUUUCUGUGGCACAACUGAUCCUGUUUAUUUAUACAAAAGAAAUCAAAUAAAAGACAUCCCAAAUUGCCUAAAUGACUGACUAAUCAAAGAUCAAAUACAGAGACCAAUGCAAAUGAGGUGUCACAUCUCCUUUGCUCUGUAUUCCUGAAACAGCAUCGUGCUGACCCAUUUCUCUUUGGUCAGAUUUGUGGGUGGAUCUGUGUAUUGUCAAUGUAGAGAGCCCUGUGAAUAAUGUCAGUUAAGAUUGUGGUCUUGAUGUAAAAAGCCAUUCACACCAAAUUAUUUUUCAAAAUGUGACUUAGAAUCACUUAGGAGACAUUUUGACCUACCUCCAAAAAUGGGCUUAAUGUAAACCAUUAUUACAUUGAUUUUUCACAUAUGUACAGCAGUGAAUAUAUUACAGAGUACAGAGUAGAUAUAUUGUUAUGAUAGUAGUUAUGCAGAGGAUACUAAAGCUAUCCAAGGAUCACAAGUUUUUGUGAUUCUCAUGUGAUUAUUCAUAGUAAAUGAUCAUCAAUACAGGCACAUGGUCAAUAAAACCACAAAGACAUGAAUGAAGACUACAAGGAACAGCCUGAGCUCAGGAUGCUGAUGCUGGUAAUGCAAGAGUUAUAAACUUCAAAGAGUGUCUGGAACACGGGCUUAUUCCAACACGGUAGGAAUCUAGUUGCUCUUUCAGGAGAGAACAUCUGUAGAAGGUUCUAUGCCUGGAUCCUGGGUUAACUAGAAAGGAGUCCAUGAGAAUCAAUGAAUAGAAUAAAAGAGAUAAAUAGGACAGAGGAAGCCACACUCCAACCCCUAGCUCAUGUUUCACUGGAAGAACACUGAUAGCAUGUGAAGGGAUGAUAAAAGGACCAGCAGGCUUUGCUGUUUCCAGGGGUCAAUAGCUCCUGAUGACUAGGUGAGCGUAUUACGCUGGAAUCAUCGUGAGUUCAGAGCUCAUUUUGUCAUAUGGCAAAUACCCCAUCAUUAUCAGGAAUGACCCCUAAAGGCUCACUAGACACCAUCACAAAGUUUCAGAGUCUCUGUCAGCUUGGCAAUGAGCAACGUGAUUAUGGCUGUAUUAUCUUUGCCAGUGUCCUACAUGUCUGAAAAUAGUGAGUGUAUCAUUGUAAAGCAAGGCUAAAAAUCAAGAACUAACAAGAAAAAAACAUGGGGUUGGGGUUAGCAUUUUUUAAACAAGUUACAGUUUAUGCAUUUUAUCUUCUUCUAGUUCAAAAUUCCCAAUAUUUUAUUAAUUUUCUGAUAAUUUAAUAUGUCUUUAAAUUUAUUUUCAUAUAUGCAUACUGUAUUUGCAUCAAUCUAUCCCUGCACCUAGGCAUUAUCAUUUGCAAAUGUCCUCUUUCUGUUCCGCAGGAAGUUGGACUACAGCCAAUCAAAACUAAAACAUGGCGGCAUUUGCUCUCUGGGGAGAGAUAAUAUCAUGGAAUGUAAGCAUAAAGUGCCCAGUGUGUGCCAUUAGCUCAUGGUUUCUAUUGGGUCAUCACAGAAGAUAACUGCAUAACUGUGAUGAUGCUAAUCUCUGAACCCAAAUUAAUUCCAUCUAGUAUGAAUGAAGUCUAAGACCAAAAAAAAAAAGAUUCCUUAAUUUUCAACAAUUGAAUCAACACCUGUGACAGAUGGUGGCUGCUGCUUAGGGAUUCAGGCAUGUGGCCAUGCAGUCUGACAGCGUGAUUGUUUUGGGGGAACACAUGAACCAAUAUGCCUGUGGCUGCUGAUGAGUGUUGAAUGCAUCUGAGGGGGAAUCCAUGAUCACUUUACACAGCUGAGGUCCAUCGCAUGAAAGAAAUCAGUAGGCAUACGUGAUGAUUAUGACUUCAGGAAAGUUGAAAAAUCUACCUGUGGAGUUCCCGUGGGCUCAUAGACAUUGAUUUUGCUCAGAGACUGAAUAAAUGUCUCGGUCAAUAAAGAUAUACAAGAGGGGGGAAAAUGAGCCCAGUAUGUGGACCAGUUUUAAGUCAAGGAGUAGUGUUUAAGUUCUGAAAUGUCUUGGUCCAUUUGGGUCGAAAUGCUAGGGCUUCCUUGUAUUUAACUCAUUAUGGGAAAAUAGUUAAGCAAACAUCUUUGGUAACCAAACAAAUGAGCACAGCAUGGAAAUUGCUACUGAAGCUGACUGGUGUUUCUCUGUGUUACUUUGUACUCAGUACAGUGGAUGCAUGCAGCUCCUCUCAUCAUGGAUACUUCAGGAUGAAGGUCGCAACACUCACUGCAUGGCUGGGCCAGUACAGACCUCAGUGAGUAAGAGACCAAGUUUCCUGCUUGCUCUUUCUCUUACGCUGAUCACUGUCUAUUUCAAAUUGACAUUAUGUGUC